GUCUGGCAGCAAUGGUAAACAACCAGAAGGUGCCCUGAGGUCCACAGCAAUUAUUAACUUAAGUCCAGAGUCCAAAACCAGCACGUCAGGCCCCAGGAAGCUCAGCAACGACCUAGGAGUCCUUCCUCUGAACCUAACUGCAGGACUGAAGCGAGCAAAAUGCACCGAGAAAGACAACUGAAAGGGCAAAGCUGGCCAAGAGCAGAAAGAAAGCAACAUCAGCAAUUCAGCCUUACGAAACUGCAACUAUAAGGCUGAUCUGACCUCAAGCGAAAAGAUGAGAUGCAAGCAUUUGUAGACAUAAUCGAAACAAAAUUAAAUAUGACGGCAAGAGAGAAUUGUUGAAAACCGAAGGCGCAGGUCGGGCCCCGUCUCUGCUUCCUGGACCCUGGACACUGUUUCGGCUGCCAGCAGGAGUGCAGGUGUUUAUUUUUUGGGUAGUGCCGUCUCCAGUCCUAGAAUUUAGGGUGCCACGUUCUUGGUCAGGUUCAUGUUUGCGCUCACCCCACACUGACCAGCUGUCGGGUCAGAAGAAUUCUUUUCUUUUUCAUUGAGAAAAUAAAUCCACAGGAAUCCUGCUUUCUGGAACAGUGAAUGAGAUUGACUGAUGAUGCCUGGAAAGUUCUUUCCUGAGUUGCCCAUUGGCUCCCUCCCUUUGGGGCUCCACUCGACUGACCCCGUGGUGGUGCUGCCUGCUAGGCCACCUCAUUUACGUUUGCAGUCCACGCCCGCUCUGGCCACAUGCGUGACCUGCUGCUCUCUUCUCCCACUAGUGGACUGCGCAGUGCCGGGCACACAGCAGGCCCCAGCAAAGAGACGUUGCUGCGAUGCGAUCCCGAUAAAGAGGAGAAUGUGGAUCAAGCACCCGAGAGGUUUCCCAGCAAGCAGCAGGCUGGAGUCCGCUGGAAGCUCAGGGUUGCGGGUGCGUGGCCCUGUGGAGCGUGUGGGGCUCCUGAAUGCGGGGGCCUGCGGAGAGAGGGAGAGGGAAGGGAACUUUCCAGGGCCCAGCCAAGGAGGAGCCAGCGGGCUGUGGUGGGAAAGGCCGAGUGCGGUGGACCGGGUCCCGUGGGCGCAGGGGAGCUGGCCGAGGUGCUGCACUGAAGGGCCUGGAGUAGCUGAGGAGAGUGGCUGGACGUGGCUCAAACCGGCUCACUGGUACAGACCUGUUGAAGCCAGUUCAGACGACCUGAUCUCGGUAGGAACCGGGCGAACCCACGAAGUAGGGUAAGAAGCUGAUUCUGUGACCUGAAGACAGCGCCCAGUCUUUACCACGAAGUCUCCACUAACACUUGAAGUGCUGUCCAGCAGAAAUAGAGCAUGAGCCACAUUAAAAAGUCAAAAACUGAUGGAAUUCAUUUAACAGUAAACUUUAACUAGUAUAUUCAAAUAUUAUUUAACAUGUAGUCAAUUCUUUUUUUUGUACUAAGGACUUCCGAUUUGGGUAGGUUUCUUACACUUGCCCCAAUCUCAGUUUGAACCAGCUGCAUUUCAAAGACU
rnacentral:lncRNA from 1 species